rnacentral:rRNA from 1 species
UACGUAGGGUGCUAGCGUUGUUCGGAAUCAUUGGGCGUAAAGCGCGUGUAGGCCGUCAAUUAAGUCGGGUGUGAAAUCCCACGGCUCAACCGAGGAAGUGCAUCCGAAACUAAUUGGCUAGAAGACGGUAGAGGGAGGUGGAAUUCCAAGUGUAGAGGUGAAAUUCGUAGAUAUUUGGAGGAAUACCGGUGGCGAAGGCGGCCUCCUGGGCCGUUCUUGACGCUGAGACGCGAAAGCGUGGGGAGCAAACAGG